rnacentral:tRNA from 1 species
GGGCCCGUAGCCUAGCCAGGAUAGGGCGGCGAAGUACCCGUAAGCCUCCUAAGCCGCAGGUCGGGGGUUCAAAUCCCCCCGGGCCCG